CUCUGAUGUUUAUCUUUCUUCUUCUUCUUCUUCUUCUUCUCAUAUUCAUCUCCUCAACAAUGUACGGUAGAGGUUACUUCUAUUGGAUAUAUCUGCGUUUGAAACCCUAAAUCAUGUACCGUCGAGUGGUUGAAGAAGAGAAUAAUCAUAAGAAGAAACAGAUCUCCUAGGGUUUCUUAUCGUACUCGAUGAACGCUUUUGUACAAGCUCCUCUUAAUCAGUGACUCUGAGUUUGUUGAUUAGAAGCAACCUCUGCCGGACGGUUGUUGAGGAGAUGGAAAUGUGAAAGGUGAUACCAGGUGUGUUGAUAGGUGAUACCAGUACAAAAGUUUAGGACAUCACCAAGGUAACUUAA